CAGCAGCACGGGAAUACAGAGGGUGCAAGCGUUAAUCGGAAUUACUGGGCGUAAAGCGCGCGUAGGUGGUUUGUUAAGUUGGAUGUGAAAUCCCCGGGCUCAACCUGGGAACUGCAUCCAAAACUGGCAAGCUAGAGUAUGGUAGAGGGUGGUGGAAUUUCCUGUGUAGCGGUGAAAUGCGUAGAUAUAGGAAGGAACACCAGUGGCGAAGGCGACCACCUGGACUGAUACUGACACUGAGGUGCGAAAGCGUGGGGAGCAAACAGGAUUAGAUACCCGUGUAGUCCCUGUCUCUUAUACA
rnacentral:rRNA from 1 species